GAUGAACGCUGGCGGCGCGCCUAAUACAUGCAAGUCGAGCGAACGGACGAGAAGCUUGCUUCUCUGAUGUUAGCGGCGGACGGGUGAGUAACACGUGGAUAACCUACCUAUAAGACUGGGAUAACUUCGGGAAACCGUAGCUAAUACCGGAUAAUAUUUUGAACCGCAUGGUUCAAAAGUGAAAGACGGUCUUGCUGUCACUUAUAGAUGGAUCCGCGCUGCAUUAGCUAGUUGGUAAGGUAACGGCUUACCAAGGCAACGAUGCAUAGCCGACCUGAGAGGGUGAUCGGCCACACUGGAACUGAGACACGGUCCAGACUCCUACGGGAGGCAGCAGUAGGGAAUCUUCCACAAUGGGCGAAAGCCUGACGGAGCAACGCCGCGUGAGUGAUGAAGGUCUUCGGAUCGUAAAACUCUGUUAUUAGGGAAGAACAUAUGUGUAAGUAACUGUGCACAUCUUGACGGUACCUAAUCAGAAAGCCACGGCUAACUACGUG
rnacentral:rRNA from 1 species